GUAGGUGAACCUGCGGAAGGAUCAUUAAAGAGUAAGGGUGCUCAGCGCCCGACCUCCAACCCUUUGUUGUUAAAACUACCUUGUUGCUUUGGCGGGACCGCUCGGUUCCGAGCCGCUGGGGAUUCGUCCCAGGCGAGUGCCCGCCAGAGUUAAACCAAACUCUUGUUAUUAAACCGGUCGUCUGAGUUAAAAUUUUGAAUAAAUCAAAACUUUCAACAACGGAUCUCUUGGUUCUC
rnacentral:misc_RNA from 1 species